rnacentral:rRNA from 1 species
AUUGAACGCUGGCGGCAUGCUUUACACAUGCAAGUCGAGCGGCAGCGCGGGGGCAACCCUGGCGGCGAGCGGCGAACGGGUGAGUAAUGCAUCGGAACGUACCCUGGAGUGGGGGAUAACGCCGCGAAAGCGGCGCUAAUACCGCAUAUGCUCUGAGGAGGAAAGUGGGGGACCGCAAGGCCUCACGCUCUGGGAGCGGCCGAUGUCCGAUUAGCUAGUUGGUGAGGUAAAGGCUUACCAAGGCGACGAUCGGUAGCUGGUCUGAGAGGAUGAUCAGCCACACUGGGACUGAGACACGGCCCAGACUCCUACGGGAGGCAGCAGUGGGGAAUUUUGGACAAUGGGGGCAACCCUGAUCCAGCCAUGCCGCGUGAGUUGAAGAAGGCCUUCGGGUUGUAAAGG